UAUCUCUCGUUUCCCCUCAAACGAAAAAAUCUUUCGCCUUUUACUAAAGAUUUCCGUGGAGGGGAACAUUCAAAUGAGUCUUUGAUUGUUUUGACAGUUUUGCUUCGGAAGAAUU